AGAGGGAAAAGGAGCAAUCCGCUUUGAGAUGGCCUCGCGUCCGAUUAGCUAGUUGGUGAGGUAACGGCCCACCAAGGCGACGAUCGGUAGCCGGACUGAAAGGUUGAACGGCCACAUUGGGACUGAGACACGGCCCAGACUCCUACGGGAGGCAGCAGUGGGGAAUAUUGCACAAUGGGGGAAACCCUGAUGCAGCGACGCCGCGUGGAGGAAGAAGGUCUUCGGAUUGUAAACUCCUGUUGUUGGGGAAGAUAAUGACGGUACCCAACAAGGAAGUGACGGCUAACUACGUGCCAGCAGCCGCGGUAAAACGUAGGUCACAAGCGUUGUCCGGAAUUACUGGGUGUAAAGGGAGCGCAGGCGGGAAGACAAGUUGGAAGUGAAAUCUAUGGGCUCAACCCAUAAACUGCUUUCAAAACUGUUUUUCUUGAGUAGUGCAGAGGUAGGCGGAAUUCCCGGUGUAGCGGUGGAAUGCGUAGAUAUCGGGCGGAACACCAGUGGCGAAGGCGGCCUACUGGGCACCAACUGACGCUGAGGCUCGAAAGUGUGGGUAGCAAACAGGAUUAGAUACCCUGGUAGUCCACACCG
rnacentral:rRNA from 1 species